UAGUGGCAGACGGGUGAGUAACGCGUGGGAAGCUACCUUGUGGUAGGGGACAACAGUUGGAAACGACUGCUAAUACCCUAUGAGCCCUAUGGGGGAAAGAUUUAUCGCCAUGAGAUGUGCCCGCGUUAGAUUAGCUAGUUGGUAAGGUAAUGGCUUACCAAGGCGACGAUCUAUAGCUGGUCUGAGAGGAUGAUCAGCCACACUGGGACUGAGACACGGCCCAGACUCCUACGGGAGGCAGCAGUGGGGAAUAUUGGACAAUGGGGGCAACCCUGAUCCAGCCAUGCCGCGUGUGUGAUGACGGCCUUAGGGUUGUAAAGCACUUUCAGCAGUGAAGAUAAUGACAUUAACUGCAGAAGAAGCCCCGGCUAACUUCGUGCCAGCAGCCGCGGUAAUACGAAGGGGGCUAGCGUUGUUCGGAAUCACUGGGCGUAAAGAGUACGUAGGCGGACUGAUAAGUUAGGGGUGAAAUCCCAAGGCUCAACCUUGGAACUGCCUUUGAUACUGUCAGUCUUGAGAUCGAGAGAGGUGAGUGGAACUCCGAGUGUAGAGGUGAAAUUCGUAGAUAUUCGGAAGAACACCAGUGGCGAAGGCGGCUCACUGGCUCGAUACUGACGCUGAGGUACGAAAGCGUGGGGAGCAGACAGGAUUAGAUACCCUGGUAGUCCACGCCGUACACGAUGAAUGCUAGUUGUCAGGUAGCUUGCUAUUUGGUGACGCAGCUAACGCAUUAAGCAUUCCGCC
rnacentral:rRNA from 1 species